AAGUCCAGGAGGUGGUAGUAC
rnacentral:miRNA from 1 species